rnacentral:rRNA from 1 species
ACCAAACAGCUAGCCCGCCCCCAUAAACCCAAAACACCACCAUAAAUAACCCCAAACACACAACAACAAAUCCAACCAAAUCAUUUUACCCCCUUAGUACGGGAGACGGAAAAGGACUUAGGAGCUAUAGAUAAAGUACCGCAAGGGAACGCUGAAAGAGAAAUGAAACAACCCAGUAAAGUAAUAAAAAGCAGAGAUUAAAACUCGUACCUUUUGCAUCAUGAUUUAGCCAGAAAACCCAAGCAAAGAGCACUUUAGUUUGAUACCCCGAAACUAAGUGAGCUACUCCAAGACAGCCUAUUUUAGGGCCAACCCGUCUCUGUGGCAAAAGAGUGGGAAGAGCUUUGAGUAGAGGUGACAGACCUACCGAACUUAGUAAUAGCUGGUUGCCUAGGAACUGAAUUUAAGUUCAGCCUUUUAACUUCUCCACUCAUCCCGUCCUUAACCCACUUGAUACUAAAGAAGUCAAAAGAGUUAGUCAAAGGGGGUACAGCCCCUUUGAACCAAGAUACAACUUUUCCAGCUGGGUAAAGAUCAAAUUCACCAAAGGAAUAAAUGUCUUAGUGGGCCUAAAAGCAGCCACCCAAACAGAAAGCGUUAAAGCUCAGACAUAACAAUAGCCCUUCCUACAAUCCUGAUAGCCCAAUCUUAACCCCCUUCCACCUACUAGGCUGUUUCAUGCAAACAUGAAAACACUACUGCUAAUAUGAGUAAUAAGAGAGAACCGAUCUCUCUCCUCGCACGCACAUACAUCGGAACGGACCCUCCACCGAACAUUACCGGCCCCAAACAAAGAGGGAAAUGAACAACAAAUAAACAGCCAGAAAAACCCCCAAAAAACAACCGUUAAGCCCACACCGGCGUGCCAAUGAGGAAAGACCUAAAGAAAAAGAAGGAACUCGGCAAACACCAAGCCUCGCCUGUUUACCAAAAACAUCGCCUCUUGUAAACCAAAUAUAGGAGGUCCCGCCUGCCCAGUGACAUCAAGUUUAACGGCCGCGGUAUUUUGACCGUGCAAAGGUAGCGCAAUCACUUGUCUUUUAAAUGAAGACCCGUAUGAAUGGCACAACGAGGGCCUAACUGUCUCCUUUUUCAAGUCAAUGAAAUUGAUCUCCCCGUGCAGAAGCGGGGAUAAUAACAUAAGACGAGAAGACCCUAUGGAGCUUUAGACACUAAAGCAGACCUUGUUAAACAACUCUAAACAAAGAACUAAACCAAAAGGGCCCUGCCUGCAUGUCUUUGGUUGGGGCGACCGCGGGGAACACAAAACCCCCAUGUGGAACGGGAGAACUUCUCCUACAACCAAGAGCUACAACUCUAAGCAAUAGAAUUUCUAACCAAAAUGAUCCGGCAAUGCCGAUCAACGGACCGAGUUACCCUAGGGAUAACAGCGCAAUCCCCUUCUAGAGUCCAUAUCGACAAGGGGGUUUACGACCUCGAUGUUGGAUCAGGACAUCCUAAUGGUGCAGCCGCUAUUAAGGGUUCGUUUGUUCAACGAUUAAAGUCCUACGUGAUCUGAGUUCAGACCGGAGUAAUCCAGGUCAGUUUCUAUCUAUGAAAUGUUUCUUUCUAGUACGAAAGGACCGAAAAAAAGAGGCCCAUGCUUAAAGCACGCCUCCUCCUUACCUAAUGAAGUCAACUAAAUUAGGCAAAAGGACAUACCCCUAACGCCUAAAAUAAAGGCAU